rnacentral:rRNA from 1 species
AAUUUUGGACAAUGGGGGAAACCCUGAUCCAGCCAUCCCGCGUGUAUGAUGAAGGCCNNNGGGUGNUNACGAACUUUUGGCAGNGANNAAAAGGUAUCCACUAAUACGAGAUACUGCUGAGGGUAACUGCAGAACAAGCACCGGCUAACUACGUGACAGAUGCCCCGGUAAUACGUAGGGUGCAAGCGUUAAGCGGAAUUACUGGGCGUAAAGCGUGUGUAGGCGGUUCGGAAAGAAAGAUGUGAAAUCCCAGGGCUCAACCUUGGAACUGCAUUUUUAACUGCCGAGCUAGAGUAUGUCAGAGGGGAGUAGAAUUCCACGUGUAGCAGUGAAAUGCGUAGAUAUGUGGAGGAAUACCGAUGGCGAAGGCAGCCCCCUGGGAUAAUACUGACGCUCAGACACGAAAGCGUGGGGAGCAAACAGG